GAUGAACGCUGGCGGCGUGCCUAAUACACGCAAGUCGAGCGAAUGGAUUGAGAGCUUGCUCUUAUGAAGUUAGCGGCGGACGGGUGAGUAACACGUGGGUAACCUGCCCAUAAGACUGGGAUAACUCCGGGAAACCGGGGCUAAUACCGGAUAACAUUUUGAACCGCAUGGUUCGAAAUUGAAAGGCGGCUGCGGCUGUCACUUAUGGCUGGACCCGCGUGGCAUUAGCUAGUUGGUGAGGUAACGGCUCACCAAGGCAACGAUGCGUAGCCGACCUGAGAGGGUGAUCGGCCACACUGGGACUGAGACACGGCCCAGACUCCUACGGGAGGCAGCAGUAGGGAAUCUUCCGCAAUGGACGAAAGUCUGACGGAGCAACGCCGCGUGAGUGAUGAAGGCUUUCGGGUCGUAAAACUCUGUUGUUAGGGAAGAACAAGUGCUAGUUGAAUAAGCUGGAACCUUGACGGUACCUAACCAGAAAGCCACGGCUAACUACGUGCCAGCCGCCGCAGUAA
rnacentral:rRNA from 1 species